AGACACCAUCUGGAUUAGGAUUAGGUUCUGAAAAGUCAUACUAUAGUGUUAGACCUAAUCGAGGAACUACUGAAGUUUUAAGAAUGUGAUUUUUUGGAUCUUCAACAUUGAUGAAAAUGGAAGAAAGCUUUAUACUCAUUCAGCCACUCAUGUAUGCUCUUACUGCACAUCUGACUCCUGCUGUUUUUAAACUCACUAUGAGAAGGAUUUUAAGUUUUUUGAUCAAGCAAGUUUUAACCAUUUUUUGAUGCCUAGUUGAUAUUUCAAAUACAUGAUUUAGACAACUCUUCACCUACAAGUCUGCUGUGUUUAUUUUAAUACAUGACCCAAUUGUCAUCAUGGUCCUUGACUGUUUGAGGAUACAGCAUGGAGCACCUAUUGAUCUUUACUAGUAGUAAUACAAUGACCAUAAUGAGAAUUUUAUUGAAGACUCUAGGAAGCAGAGUGGAAUACAUAAAAGUUAUGCAAAAUAAGAUGUAACUAGCAUAG
rnacentral:lncRNA from 1 species